rnacentral:rRNA from 1 species
GACGAACGCUGGCGGCGUGCCUAAUACAUGCAAGUAGAACGCACAGUUUAUACCGUAGCUUGCUACACCAUAGACUGUGAGUUGCGAACGGGUGAGUAACGCGUAGGUAACCUGCCUGGUAGCGGGGGAUAACUAUUGGAAACGCUAGCUAAUACCGCAUAAUAUUAAUUAUUGCAUGAUAAUUAAUUGAAAGGUGCAAUUGCACCACUACCAGAUGGACCUGCGUUGUAUUAGCUAGUAGGUGAGGUAACGGCUCACCUAGGCGACGAUACAUAGCCGACCUGGAAGGGUGGUCGGCCACACUGGGAAUGAGACACGGCCCAGACUCCUACGGGAGGCAGCAGGAGGGAAUCUUCGGCAAUGGACGAAAGUCUGACCGAGCAACGCCGCGUGAGUGAAGAAGGUUUUCGGAUCGUAAAGCUCUGUUGUAAGAGAAGAACGGGUGUGAGAGUGGAAAGUUCACACUGUGACGGUAUCUUACCAGAAAGGGACGGCUAACUACGUG